GAAACUCGAGCUAAUACCGCAUAAUCCUUACGAGGGGAANCAGGGGAUCUUCNGACCUUGUGCUAUUAGAUGAGCCUGCGUCGGAUUAGCUUGUUGGUAGGGUAAUGGCCUACCAAGGCAACGAUCCGUAGCUGGUCUGAGAGGACGACCAGCCACACUGGGACUGAGACACGGCCCAGACUCCUACGGGAGGCAGCAGUGGGGAAUAUUGGACAAUGGGCGCAAGCCUGAUCCAGCAAUGCCGCGUGUGUGAAGAAGGCCCUAGGGUUGUAAAGCACUUUCAGUAGGGAAGAAAUGCGUGUAGUUAAUAACUGCGCGUCUUGACGGUACCUACAGAAGAAGCACCGGCUAACUCCGUGCCAGCAGCCGCGGUAAUACGGNAGGGUGCAAGCGUUAAUCGGAAUUACUGGGCGUAAAGCGCGCGUAGGCGGCUAUAUAAGUCGGAUGUGAAAGCCCUGGGCUCAACCUGGGAACUGCAUUCGAUACUGUAUAGCUAGAGUUUGGUAGAGGGAGGUGGAAUUCCACAUGUAGCGGUGAAAUGCGUAGAUAUGUGGA
rnacentral:rRNA from 1 species